AACGAACGCUGGCGGCAUGCCUAACACAUGCAAGUCGAACGAGACCUUUGGGUCUAGUGGCGCACGGGUGCGUAACGCGUGGGAAUCUGCCCUUGGGUUCGGAAUAACAGUGAGAAAUUGCUGCUAAUACCGGAUGAUGUCUUCGGACCAAAGAUUUAUCGCCCAGGGAUGAGCCCGCGUAGGAUUAGCUAGUUGGUGGGGUAAUGGCCUACCAAGGCGACGAUCCUUAGCUGGUCUGAGAGGAUGAUCAGCCACACUGGGACUGAGACACGGCCCAGACUCCUACGGGAGGCAGUAGUGGGGAAUAUUGGACAAUGGGCGCAAGCCUGAUCCAGCAAUGCCGCGUGAGUGAUGAAGGCCUUAGGGUUGUAAAGCUCUUUUACCAGGGAUGAUAAUGACAGUACCUGGAGAAUAAGCUCCGGCUAACUCCGUG
rnacentral:rRNA from 1 species